AGAGUUUGAUCCUGGCUCAGGAUGAACGCUGGCGGCGUGCUUAACACAUGCAAGCCGAACGAUGACUUUUGUGCUUGCACAAAAUGAUUAGUGGCGAACGGGUGAGUAACACGUGAGUAACCUGCCCUUAACUUCGGGAUAAGCCUGGGAAACCGGGUCUAAUACCGGAUACGACGGAUUCCCGCAUGGGGGUCCGUGGAAAGCUUGAUGCGGUUUUGGAUGGACUCGCGGCCUAUCAGCUAGUUGGUUGGGGUAAUGGCCCACCAAGGCGACGACGGGUAGCCGGCCUGAGAGGGUGACCGGCCACACUGGGACUGAGACACGGCCCAGACUCCUACGGGAGGCAGCAGUGGGGAAUAUUGCACAAUGGGCGAAAGCCUGAUGCAGCGACGCCGCGUGAGGGACGAAGGCCUUCGGGUUGUAAACCUCUUUCAGCAGGGAAGAAGCGAAAGUGACGGUACCUGCAGAAGAAGCGCCGGCUAACUACGUGCCAGCAGCCGCGGUAAUACGUAGGGCGCAAGCGUUAUCCGGAAUUAUUGGGCGUAAAGAGCUCGUAGGCGGUUUGUCGCGUCUGCUGUGAAAGCCCGGGGCUCAACCCCGGGUCUGCAGUGGGUACGGGCAGACUAGAGUGCAGUAGGGGAGACUGGAAUUCCUGGUGUAGCGGUGAAAUGCGCAGAUAUCAGGAGGAACACCGAUGGCGAAGGCAGGUCUCUGGGCUGUAACUGACGCUGAGGAGCGAAAGCAUGGGGAGCGAACAGGAUUAGAUACCCUGGUAGUCCAUGCCGUAAACGUUGGGCACUAGGUGUGGGGGA
rnacentral:rRNA from 1 species